AUGAUAGCAACUCAAGUAACUCCUUUCCUUUUGGCAGUUGCAGCUCUUCUUGAAAUAAACAGUGACAUCAUUGAGCAGACACACAAGAAGUGGCAGCUUUUGGGAUGUUCUUCAUCGCCUGGUUUGUUUGGAAUUCGCUCUGCCACAAACAAAACAAACCACCAAGGAAAGAAACACCCUGAAAGUCCUCCGCUCACCAACGCGCAGUGGUCCUGGUUUUGUCCUGGUUUCUGCUUGCUGCUUUGUGGGGGAGUCAGCACUGAAAAACAUGGGAAAAAAUCUGCAAGACUACCCCGAACAUCAGUAUUUAAGUCAAGUUCACAUCUUGCUGAGAGUGCAGCUUGGAGACCCAACAUCUCCUGGCCAAUACAGACUGAAACAUUUGGAGCCACAUGCAAGUCACACCCUUUCUCUGAAACAUUUCUGGUCACAAAGCCUGAGCUGUUUUAA
rnacentral:lncRNA from 1 species